AUGGUGACCCAGACGGGAGAUGGCUCCACCAUCUCUCAGGGUGAGGAGGUCGGGGCUCUCCACAUAAACACCAGGCCUGUGACCUCUCACCUUUCCCACAUCACAGGUCAGCCGAAGGCCAGCCCUACGCUCACAGUGUUCCCACCCUCCUCUGAGGAGCUGGCAACCAACAAGGCCACACUGGUGUGCCUGAUUAACGACUUCUACCCGGCUGAGGUGACGGUGACCUGGAAGGCAGAUGGCACAACCGUCACCCAGGGCGUGCACACCACCAAGCCCUCCAAACAGAGCAACAACAAGUACGCGGCCAGCAGCUACCUGAGCAUGACUGCCGACCAGUGCCGAAAUCGCAGCGCGUUCACCUGCCAGGUCACGCACGAGGGGAGCACCGUGGAGAAGAGCGUGACCCCUGCAACAUGUUCUUAGGGCCCCACUUCCCAUUGCAUCCCUGGGGCCUAGGGCUAAUGACCCCAGGAAAAGGGUCUCCCUCCAACUCCAGUUAUCCUAGUCCUUCCCCCCGAAUCUAUAAACUUCCAAUAAAUACCCUAAUUUCAAUCAGAAA